ACUCCUACGGGAGGCAGCAGUGAGGAAUCUUCCGCAAUGGGCGCAAGUCUGAACCAGCCAUGCCGCGUGCAGGAUGACGGUCCUAUGGAUUGUAAACUGCUUUUGUACGAGAAGAAACACUCCUAUGUAUAGGAGCUUGACGGUAUCGUAAGAAUAAGGAUCGGCUAACUCCGUGCCAGCAGCCGCGGUAAU
rnacentral:rRNA from 1 species